UUCUCCACCCCUACUUACCAAGCAUAGCAAGAUUAAAAGUCCCUAAACUCUUGAAUCCCAUGCCUCCAUCUUUUUUGUGCAUAGAUAACCUGUCCCAUGACAUCCAAUGGAUACCUUUAUUUUGAGCUCUUGAAUGACCCCACCAGAAUGAAUUCAUCAUCUUGUCAAUCUCAUCACAAAGAGAUGACGGUAAAGUGAAUAGACUCAUAAAGUAUGUGGGAAUAGACUGAAGGACAGAUUUAAUUAAAACUUCUCGACCUGCUUUGG
rnacentral:lncRNA from 1 species